CAUGACACAGCAACAUUCACAACUUAAUAACUCAGAAUAACAUCCCUUCUGCCCUAAAGAAAUAAUCUGACAAAAUUAAAACAAGACUUUAUCCAGAGACUGUCCAAUUCAACAGUAACUUUCCACUCAACUGAAGAGGCUUUGGAUAAAGCCUUCAUGUGGAAAUCCAACAAAUUGAAGCAACACAAUAAAUGCUUGCUAUGAAUUCGGGGCUGUGGUCUUUAUUAUUUUGCAUUCAUUACUAAGCUAAGUAUUAUAUGCUUGCAUGGGAAUUUACAGGACUACAAAACAGGACAAAAUACUGUGGCACAUAAGGGCAGCUGGAUCAACCAGGAGGCCUUGAGCCAUCAGCCAGCCAGUAGGCGCUGAGCCGCGUUUGCACAAUGCCUUCCUUGACGAUGGCUUCCCCUCCCAUGCUGCUGCCUCCAGCAUGCUCUGCCUACCUCCGCCAUCCGCGACAACAUGUUUCACCACCAUCUGAAACGAUUCGUGUUUGAAGAUCUUCUGAAACCAAUUAAAGGGUGUUCUCCACCUGCUUCAUAUCAACUCUUUCGUUGCUGGUACCUUUUGUGAAUAAAUGUUUCACCAAAGUGGAGAGAACUUCCA
rnacentral:lncRNA from 1 species